rnacentral:ncRNA from 1 species
GGCGUUUGCUCACUCCACUAUAUGAGCGGCGUACAUCCAAAAAGGAGGUCAAAUCACCGUAAGACUCACGGUGCGGCAGUGUGGAGACCUGCCGUAAAUGCGGAGCAACAAUAUUCUGUUGCCCGUGAGGCGAUUUUGCGGAGGCACUAUCGUCAGAGUCGUGUUUAUG